rnacentral:rRNA from 1 species
CGGGAGAUAACAUACUGAAAGUCGCAUAGGCUUUUGUAUCAAAGCUCCGGCGGUACAGGAUGGACCCGCGUCUGAUUAGCUAGUUGGUAAGGUAAUGGCUUACCAAGGCAACGAUCAGUAGCCGACCUGUSAGGGUGAUCGGCCACACUGGAACUGAGACACGGGCCACACUCCUACGGGAGGCACUAGUGGGGAAUAUUGCACAAUGGGCGAAAGCCUGAUGCAGCAACGCCGCGUGAGCGAUGAAGGCCUUCGGGUCGUAAAGCUCUGUCCUCAAGGAAGAUAAUGACGGUACUUGAGGAGGAAGCCCCGGCUAACUACGUGCCAGCAGCCGCGGUAAUACGUAGGGGGCUAGCGUUAUCCGGAAUUACUGGGCGUAAAGGGUGCGUAGGUGGUUUUUUAAGUCAGAACUGAAAGGCUACGGCUCAACCCGUAGUAAGCUUUUUAAAAUAUAGAACUUGAGUGCACGAGAGGAGAGUAGAAUUCCUAGUGUAGCGGUUAAAUGCGUAGAUAUUAGGAUGAAUACCAGUAGCGAAAAGCUGCUCUCUGGACUGUAACUGACACUGASGCACAAAAACGUGGGGAGCAAACAAGGAUUAACAUACCCUGGUAGUCCACGCCGUAAACAAUGAAAUACAAUUUGUUGGGGGUUAACCCCCCUCCGUGCCACCCCUUACGCAA